rnacentral:lncRNA from 1 species
ACGGUGAUUUCAUUCCCUCUGGAAUAUAGAAUAAAACAAUAAAAAUGAUAAAUUAGGGCAACCAUGUCCUUUCAUGUAGUUGAAUCUUUAUUUGUCUGUUUAGUUAUUUAAUGCGUUAUUUCUUGAACAGCUUCUGGUGGUGGAAGAUUUGGGUGCCCAAGUCUUAUCCCAAGGCCAGAGCUUCCUGCUUCAGCUGGUGUCUUGCCCAGUAGUAAUGGUGUCUUCUGUUGCGAUAUCCAAACCAUUGCUUCUCCUCCACCACUGACAGAUUCAAUAGGAGCAAAAGAAACGAUUCUCUUCCUCCUGGAACCUGUACUUGCUGAACUAGGCCAGACCAGGGUCAAAGGGCCUCUCUCUCAACCCAUAUCUCCCUCACUUUCUGGGCUUUCUUGUCACCCAGAGGACCCACACUGCCAUUUUCACUCUUGUACCUCCCCUCUCUAUUCACUGUGUUCCCUCUAGCUGCCCUGAGUUUCUUAUACUUCUCACUAGAAAUUUUUCACUUAUAUCUUCUUUCAUAUAUUUAAAACAAUAGUUUGCCUUUCUCUCUAUUCUUACACUGCCCUCUGCCCAAAUCCCUCUAUUCCUUUCUUGAUUCAACUCGAUACGAAGUCCCCCACUUUAAAUCAAUCCCCAUCCCAAUCAGAACUUAAUUUACAGUAAGCUUAUAUUUGACACGUCUAUGUACGUAGUUCUUGGUCUUGCUUACAGAGAUUUUCAAGUCCCGUUACCGGGCCUCACCUGCUCAACAGUGUGUCACUACUCCGUGUCGGGGCAAUGGCCUGAAGGGCCUUGGUCUUCUUCUUGAUCAUGGCGGUCACAGGUGGGCCUGCAUUCCAUGGGACCAACCCUUGGGAGUACAGUCUUAUGAGGCCAGUGGGUGGAACAGGAGCUGAGGAAGCAUGCUCUCCAGAGUGCAGCCCUAGGUUCCUGGGAAUCAGGUUAGAUCUGAUGCUUGAUGUCUUCAGAAGGCUCCACGGAAUACAGUCACAGAUAUAAUGGGGCUCAAGGGAAAAGAUACAAUUUGAGUCCCAAAGCUGCAUUCCUAAACCCAGCCUCUAACCCUCUUCUGCCAGGCUCUUGUCCCAACCCCACCCCAAUCUAGUCUCUGUAUGAUAUCAACCAUGACCUCAUAAGUACAAAGCAGCUCAUUAUAGGGGAAGGACUCUAGUGGUAAAGGACAUGGUUUCUACCUCCAAUGCAUACUACUGUGUGACCCUGUGUCAUUAAAAUCACCCUGGGCCUCAGUUUCAUACUCUAU